AAUUUUUAGGAUUGUAUGAUCUAAAUAAAAACUAUCCGUUUACAUGAAAAAUAGAUAUACUAUGUUACAAGGAGAGCAUUACUUGGAGUCAAUAUUAUAAUGUUGUUAAAUGCUCAUUUGUCUCUCCAACCAGGGUCAAUACUUAUCAUAAACUUCCUCUGUUGAAUUUAUAGGAAAUUGAGUGCCAAGUAGCGUUUUCAGUAUGCAAUUCAUCCAUGUUCUUCAUAGAUCUCAGGGUGGGUAUUGACUGCACAUGACAAAUUACACACUGACUUUGUUGAAGUCGUGAUUAUACCAAACACACAAAUUCCGGCAUCAUCCAAGUAGGGACUCCAUGAAAAGAAGUCAAAAAUCAAAUCAAAUCAUAAUAAUAAAUGAAUUAAAUUAAAAAGUAAAAAUGCUGGUGAAUAUCUGAGAAGCAAGUAGUUGCGUUCAGUAACUUACCGACACAAUGUGUGUGCAGAGUACCGAUUCGAAGCACAACAAUGCCGUCUUCAAGACAAGAACGACCCUCAGGACAACAAAGCGCUGAAGCAGUGACACAGAUGAGAUGACACAUUGAUUUUUCCAACAUAGUGCCUGCUCAGCACAAGAUUAAUCCAUGUUUUCUUUGUGGUUUGUUUGGGAAAAAGAUGGGCC
rnacentral:lncRNA from 1 species